rnacentral:misc_RNA from 1 species
GUGGACCAACGUUAUUUUGUGCCGUCAAGUUGGUUGUUAUAAAGAAUAAGAGCAAUAUAUAUGGCCCUGUGCAUGAAUACUGUUGCAGUGGAAGACUGGCGAACAUCAUACUGUUGUACAGUUUUGCAAGGGGUGAGCAAAAGAAAGCUGUUGUACCUCUGAUAUGCCUGAGUACUGUAUGAUAUAUUCCCGCACUAUGUCAAAGUAAAUCACUUACUGAGCCCAGACAUGGUAUCAUCAAAGCUCCGGAAUGUUGUCAAG